CCAUACGGUUCUUUGCUGCGCGCUGACUUGGAACAAACCUUCUAUUCUCUUUAAAUGCGAGGGGCAGCACACAGACAGCGUUUUGUUCGCUCGAUCGACCACCCAUCGGUUCUGUGAGUUUAUACGAGUGUGGAGAUAUUCGAUCGCGACAGUGGCCGUAAUUCAACACGAGAUUAUCGUCGACUGCACUCAAAUCCUUGACAUCAGCCAGCUUUGCAAUGCGUGAGAGACGAGAACGAUUAGUCAAAAUCAUCAAAUGCUUCUCGUCCGGAGAGGCCGAGAGAACAGCAGACAGUGGCCCGCAAAAGCCGGGCUGUGAAACUCCUUGGCACAAGCAAGAUCCAGCGUUUCAGUGUUGGUGUUCUUGGAAGUUUAGUGCUCUGGGACCUUUGAAUUUUUCCAAGGUUUUGCUAGCUAUAAGUUUCUCAUACUAUAUGCUCUAUGAUCCUUGAAUUGAUCAAACUUAGUGCUCUGGGAUCUUUGAAUUUU